ACGGGUCGGCGCAAAAGCGCGGGAAGAGGCAGGCUCCGCCCUUUUUCGUUGCGCAUGCGCGGGCCGCCCUGGCGAAAGGGCGUGGACUCUGAGGGGAAGGGUGGAGGGUGGAGGUCAUCGCCGUCGGCCGCUCUGACGAGAAAAGCUCAAUUCGCUACGUUUCUCUGAAGAAACCCGUCCACCAACUCUGUCGUGUCCUCUCCCAAGCGCUUAGCACAGUGCUCCGCACACAAAGGUUAUCUGUAAAAGAUUAAGAAGAAAACGACGUUUCUGACAGGAAAAACAGAUAGAGAAUCCCUGGCUAAUGGAAGAAUCCCGCGACUCUGUCCGCAGAAAUGGCGUGACCGCCGUCCCUGCAUCCCCAGGAAAGCAGGGGUAGCAUAUGGAUGGGAGGGGAACCGUACCACUUAGUGCCCCUUGAAUGCUGUUUUAGGGGGGAAGGGCAGGGAAAAAGGGUUUGGGGAAGGGUGGGGUGUUCUCCUGGUCUCUUUUCUGCAGGUUACUUCUCUUUCGAAGUAAGGCAAAGUUGAAACCGUUCUCCCUAACAGUUAAAGAUCUGUUGGCAGGAGCCCGGACAACUGCCUAUCCGUGGCUUCCGGAAGUUCCAAGAAAUGUUCCAUGACCCACAGAACCGAAAUCUGACCUGCAGCUCUCGGCAGAGGAACGCAGGGUUGUCCCCCCGUCUGAGGGCAGAGUUCGGAGGUGGAAGUUUGACCGUCCGCGAUCUCCCUUCCACAUUUGUUCCUGCUCUGUCCCCGAGGGGUCCUUGGCCGCCAGAACUACCGCCUGGGCAGGAGGGCAAGGGAAGCGAGCUCCUGACGCAGCUCUUGGGGCUGCUGUCGGGGGUCGGAGAGGCCGGGGGCUCUUGGUUGUCACAGCGGGAUGGCCAGCAGGAUCUCAACCCCUAGUCUUCGGGUCAGCUGAUCAGCUGAGGAGCUGGGCGGAGCCGGUCGUACUCGUCGACCUGCGUAGUUAUUAAACCUUCAAGAGGUCCCCUCUGGCCCCUCGCGCCCUCUCGCCCGGAAACGGUCCCAUCUUUCACAUUCAGGAAUCCUGCGAUCUUUGUGUGCAGCCGUGGUCCGGGAGCCUAACCCGCAGUCCCACGUUGGUGUCCGUCGAUCAAUGGAUCCAUCGCGGGGGCGUGGUGAUAGGAGGACCGGUAGUGGCCGGCGGAGGGCCGGGGGUGUUCCCUGUACCUCAGUGGAAAGCUCCCUGAGGGGGGACGGUGGCGCCGUACGGUGGGGAGGAGCAGAGACGAUGGGGGGAGUGAUGCCGGGUUUCCCUUCUCUCAUUACCGUCAUUAUUAUUACCAUUUUUUCCCUCCUUUAUCUCCCAGUUAGAGCUCCUGAAUUUAACGGAGCAAACCUGCGAUCGUGUCUGCACUGACCGUCUGCCAACGGCCCCCGCAACCUUAUGGGGUAGAAGCAGAGGUAAAAUGGGGAGGGGAGCAGCAGUUUGAGGGUGGGAGAAUAUUGCCACUAGGAGCCCCCCUGAACCUCAAU